GGAAGAAGACCGCUAUGACCUAGAGCAGGGAUUGGCUAGAGAUCGGCAUGUGUGCUACAAACGCACAGUCUUGUAUCUCCAACUGUCCUGUUCCUAUCAACGCCAGACUGUGAAGGAAAAAAAGAGUCAUGACGCUCCAUCUUUCAGAAGCAGAAUGCAGUACGUAGGACGUUAUUAUGACCUUGCCCAUGCCCUGCAGUGACUCCACUUCCUCGCCAUAAUCCUCAUCCCUCCUGGUGUCUCAAGGGGACUUCCCUCAUGCUGAGCUGUGGAAGUAGAAGAGCUGUCAAGGCAAUUUUCAUAAAAUAGGAUGUCACCUUCCAGACCUAAACCCUGAGACUCAGCCAAGAACUGGUCCAGCAGUUUUACCUACUCUCACCUGCACCCAAGGAAACUUGCUGCCCAUUAUAAGGGCUUAGCGAGGUUUUGUCUUGCAACUUCUGGCUCUAAUUUUCUUCUUUUGAACAUUAGCUUAAACCUUCCAGGAGUUCCUUCCAGGUUUACAAUUUUCUUGACCUUACU
rnacentral:lncRNA from 1 species